CCAGCACGUAAUGGUGGGCACUCUAAGGAGACUGCCGGUGACAAACCGGAGGAAGGUGGGGAUGACGUCAAGUCAUCAUGGCCCUUACGGCCUGGGCUACACACGUGCUACAAUGGUCGGUACAGAGGGUUGCCAAGCCGCGAGGUGGAGCUAAUCCCAGAAAACCGAUCGUAGUCCGGAUCGCAGUCUGCAACUCGACUGCGUGAAGUCGGAAUCGCUAGUAAUCGCGAAUCAGAAUGUCGCGGUGAAUACGUUCCCGGGCCUUGUACACACCGCCCGUCACACCAUGGGAGUGGGUUGCACCAGAAGUAGCUAGUCUAACCCUCGGGAGGACGGUUACCA
rnacentral:rRNA from 1 species